rnacentral:rRNA from 1 species
GAUCAUGGCUCAGGAUGAACGCUAGCUACAGGCUUAACACAUGCAAGUCGAGGGGCAGCAUGGGAUAGCUUGCUAUCCAGAUGGCGACCGGCGCACGGGUGAGUAACGCGUAUCCAACCUUCCCCUUAGUAGGGCAUAGCCCGGCGAAAGUCGGAUUAAUACCCUAUGUUGUCUUAUGAGGACAUCUGAGCAAGACUAAAGAUUUAUCGCUAAGGGAUGGGGAUGCGUCUGAUUAGGUUGUUGGCGGGUAACGGCCCACCAAGCCUUCGAUCAGUAGGGGUUCUGAGAGGAAGGUCCCCCACACUGGUACUGAGACACGGACCAGACUCCUACGGGAGGCAGCAGUGAGGAAUAUUGGUCAAUGGGCGGGAGCCUGAACCAGCCAAGUAGCGUGCAAGGAAGACUGCCCUAUGGGUUGUAAACUGCUUUUAUGCGGGGAUAAAGUGCACUACGUGUAGUGUUUUGUAGGUACCGCAUGAAUAAGGACCGGCUAAUUCCGUGCCAGCCGCAGC